rnacentral:rRNA from 1 species
GACGAACGCUGGCGGCGUGCUUAACACAUGCAAGUCGAACGGAAAGGCCCUGCUUUUGUGGGGUGCUCGAGAGGCGAACGGGUGAGUAACACGUGAGUAAAAUGCCCUUGACUUUGGGAUAACUUCAGGAAACUGGGGCUAAUACCGGAUAGGAGCUACUGCUGCAUGGGGGGGGUUGGAAAGUUUCGGCGGUUGGGGAUGGACUCGAGGCUUAUCAGCUGGUUGGUGGGGUAGUGGCGUACCAAGGCUUUGACGGGUAGCCGGCCUGAGAGGGUGACCGGCCACAUGGGGACUGAGAGACGGCCCAGACUCCUACGGGCCGCAGCAGUGGGGAAUAUUGCACAAUGGGCGGAAGCCUGAUGCAGCAACGCCGCGUGCGGGAUGCCGGCCUUCGGGUUGUAAACCGCUUUCGCCUGUGACGAAGCGUGAGUGACGGUAAUGGGUAAAGAAGCACCGGCUAACUACGUG